GAUGAACGCUGACAGCAUGCUUAACACAUGCAAGUCCACUGUGGUGGACGGGUGAGUAACGCGUAAAGAACUGGCCUCACGGAUUGGGCCACCAUUUGGAAACGAAUGCUCAUACCUGAUACUUGGAGCGAGAUUUGCGUCCCCUUAGCUCGUUGGCGAGGUUACGGCUCACCAAGGCGAUGAUGGGUAGCCGGCCUGCGAGGGUGAUCGGCCACACGGUGACGGAGACACGGCCCUUACUCCUACGGGAGGCAGCAGUGGGGAAUAUUGGACAAUGGACCAAAGUCUCAUCCAGCAAGUCUGUGUUCACGAUGAAGUUUUCGGAAUGUAAAGUGCUUUCAGGUGGGAAGCGGUACUAACAGAAGAAGUGCCGGCUAAAUACGUGCCAGCAGCCGCGGUAAUUC
rnacentral:rRNA from 1 species